ACUAGAGGAGAUUCUUACCUUAUGCAGGACGUGUUCAUGGAAGUCAGGGCCAGCUCCCCCCUGGUAGGAGUCGAGCUGGUCCAUGCCCGGCUCUGAGCCCGCGGCUCCCUGCUCUCCCAAGGCUCUGCUCUGAACCAGUGCUUCCAGAAGCUCCGUCCGGGGCCCGCGGGGGGCAGCAGGCUGCGGUCUAAGCCCGGCAGGCCGGGCCACAUCCGGUUCAGCACUGGACAGCUCCCGAAGACGCUGCGGCGCUGUACCCGGACCGCAGGCUGCUGCUCCCUUCUGCGGCAGCGGCGUUUCAGCACCAGGAACAGCGUUGCCGUCCCUUAGCGCCUGGGACCAGAGUUCUGAGAUCCCGUCUUCUCCUAAGUCCCCUGUCUCGUGACUCCAGGAUGUUGGGAGGGACGCAAGAUUUCAGUCUAGCCUGUGGUCGGAUGUUUCACUCUGAGCAUCUCCAGGACCUUAAAGGGUACAGUAGGAGAGACACUGGUGAUGAAGUGCCAGUACGGUGCAGGAGAGGAGGGUCACAGGAAGUUCUGGUGCCGAGGGCCCGACUGGAGAGACUGCAUCCGAGUUAUUGAAACGGCACACUUGGUGGGGCAGGAAGUAAGACGCGGCCGAGUGACCCUCCGAGACAGCCCCACGGAGCACAUUUUCCUUGUGAUCAUAGAGGACCUGGAGGAAGGAGAUGCAGACACUUACUGGUGUGGGGUGGACAGAAGUGUCCCCUGGGCCUCGGUGGCAGUGACUGUUUUUCCAGGCUCAGUGACAGUAGCAAUGAGGACCACUGGGACGUCAGCCAGCACAGGUGCCCUGGCUCUGACCAGCCACGUGUCCAGCCCUGGCCUUCCUCCAUGGCCCUUCCUGCUCUCUGCCAGCGUCCUGUUCCUGGUCCUGCUGAAGGCUGUCCUCUUCCUGAGCUUCAGCUAUGCUGCGAUUUUGUUGGCCUGGCUUCAGCGUCCCCUCUGAGGGACAUGUCCAUGCACCAUGAUCAGCCCAGCCCAGAGCACCUGCGGCUUCCAUCCCAAUGGCUCCCUGUCUGGUGACACAGCUCCUGGAUUCUCUGCUUCAAACUCAGCCCCGACCCCUCCCUGGGAUCCAGACUCAGCCCCGACCCCUCCCUGGAAUGUGAAAUCGAAAAUAAGUUGGCCUCACUAGAGACUUUUGUGCCCAGAAGCUGAGUCACCUUUGCCAAAUCCUUUCAUGGGGUGGCCUGACAGAGAGGACAUGGUGUAAGGACACAUGCUCUGGACUUAGACAGGUCUGUAUUCAGACCCCAGUGGUGCUGACUUACUAUGUGGCCCAGGAGAGGCUGUUUGAUGGCUCAUCGUCUGUUUCUUUGAUUUGUAUAUAACUGAGAUGAUACAUAGAGGGCUUUGACCACACAGGAGGAGCUCCCACAUGGAGCUGCCAUUACAAUUGCUGGCUUGGGUCCACAGCAGCAGAAAAUAGGUGGGCAGGUGAGGGACCUGGGAAGAGUGAGCCAGGCCUCCUGGGCCUCCUGCUUGACUCCAGGCACAAUGGGGGAAGGUGGUUUUAUCCCCAGAGGGCCACGCCCAUGUCUGUCUGAAUGUACAGUGCUCAACACACAUUCAGUAAUGGGUGAAAGGGAUAAAGAAUGGAGGCCUUGCCUCAAAGAGCAGAUGAGAGCUCCACUCUUAGGUGCAGUAGUGCUGGGAGGAAGGUUUCUUUGUGACAAGUUACAAACAGAAAUGGGCUCAGCUCCUUGCUUGAGGGGCAGUGGCCAGGCAUGAAGGUGGCCUGACCCAGCUCCAGACUGAACCCUCCCCUCUCACUCUCUCUCUGUCCUCCAUACUCAGUGGCCUCUGCCCCUGGGAAGGAGUUCCUUUCUCCUCCCUUAAGGUUCAGCCUUUAUACCCUGGGUACAGAAGUCACAUCUCAACUAUUUCUCUUCUUGAUCCCCUCAACCACUAGAUUUGCAUGACCUCUAGAAGAAACACACAUGCCUUCUGUAUCUUCAUCUAAGUUGGUAAAAGUUUUGAAUGGGUGAGACUCAAGGUAGAGCCUUUGGGCAUCCAACUACAGACUACUUACUAGGUAACAUGGUCUCUUUCCUCCAGGACAAGGAAUGUGGCAGACACCCCUGAUCCUGCCCCUCUAGACAGGUGUGACAACAAGCUAUUAAUUGGUUAGUGCAUCACUUUUAGUUGAAGAAAGAUAUCCUUUUGAUGAGUUAAUUGGUGAGACAAUAGAUCUCUCAACUCUUAGCACCCUGAGUAAGAGGCUUCCUUUCCCUGGGCAUGCUGGAGGGCUUACAAAGACAGCCCAGUAAGAGUUAAGGUGAAGUGAGUGUGACUCACCAGGCUCAACUUAGUGAUUUGCUUUUAAUGAAUAGAAUAAGGCAAAGUAACAGGGUGCUGCUUCUGCCAUUAGAGUACAAAAUGACUCUGGCUUCUGUUUUUUUGGCUUUCACUUGUUUGCUGUCAUGGAAACCAGAUGCCAUGUUGUGAGCUGCCCUGUGGAGAGGCCAGUAUGGCAAGGAACUGAGAGAGGCUUUUGACCAACAGCCAGGACAGCCAUGAGUUCACUGGUCUGUGAGCAACUGAACCUGCCAACAGCCAUGUGAACAAGCUGAGAAACAGACCCACCCUCGGCCCAGCCUUCAGAUGAGAUUGCAGCCCCAGCCAAUACUGACUGCAGCUUUGUGAGAAACCUCUAGGCAGAGGUGCCCACUGAACUGCACUGGGAUUCCUGUGAGAUAAUACGUGUUCAUUGUUUUAAAGUAAGUUUGGAGGUAAUUAUUAUGCAGCAGAAGAUAAUCAUCAUCUCAAGAAUGGGAUUUUCACCUCCCUCUGCCUCCUCAGGAACUAGCACAGUGAUGACACACAGGAGCACAGAAAUGGUGAAGCCAAGUUGAAGUCACUGGUGAAUGCAGGAUUACCCUACCUGGGCAGGAGGCAGAGGUGGGUAGGGGAUGUUCACGUGUCCGCGUUUGACAUAGUUGGUCUCUUUCGUUCAGUUCUCGCUUGUUUCUGGGAAUGCCCGGAGCCAUGACAAUGACUCUCAGCCAGACUCUGAGGCCUAAAACUCUGGAAAGUUCGCAUAGGCACUGAUUAGUGAUGUUAUUCUUUGUACCUGAGGCAGUGGGUCAGGCUGGACCAGAUCGUUGGUAUCCUUUCACGUCAGCAUGAAGAAUCAUGAUGUGCACCUGGUGCCUGAUUUGUAGCUACCUGAUCAACCCUCUUUAAGACUCUUGACUCUCAACUCCAGCGGGCUUCCCUGGGUGGAGACAUCCCACACAUAUCUCUGUAAUCCACAGCUGCAGAGAAAUGCACAUUUGUGCGAACCUUGCAGGGGAGGGUGACUUGGAAGCCUGCACCCCGCCCCUCUAGCCCUUGCCUGUGGAUCUCUCUCCUACUAUCCCUGCACCGUGUCCUUUGCUGUCAUAAACCUUAGCCAUGAUUAAAAACUGUUGUUAAGUUAUGUGAAUCUUUCCAGUGAAUCACCAAACUGGUGGUGGGAUCAUGGGACCCCUGGAUCAGAGUGAAAUGGUGUUUAUAAUGUAAAAAGAGGAACUUGUUGCUAUAAGAAAAAGGCAGUGGGCUCUGUCUCCAACUACAGCUCCAUUAUUUGGCAGAAUAACAGUCCCUUAAAGAUGUGCACAUUGUAAUCCCCAGAACCUGUGAAUAUUUUACCUUCCACAGCAAAAAGGACUUGGCAGAUGUGAUUAUGUUGAGAUGAGAUUAUCCUAGAUCAGCUGGUGGGCCUAAUGUUACAGUAAAAGUCCUGAUAAAACAGAGACAGGAGGAUUAGAAUCAGAGAAAGGGAUGUGAUGAUGGAAGCCCAGGUGGAGUGAUGAGGGGCCAUGAGCCAAUGCAAGAAGCCUCUAGAUCCUAGAAAAAGCCAGGGAAACUGCUUUUGGACUUCUGACAUCUAGAAUUGUAAGAAUGGUGUACGUCCCUGCUCCUCUCCAUGGGACACUAAAGAGAGCGUUCAGGUCAAAGAUGCUUUGAACUGUGCAGGAUGUAAACCUUGCUCACAGCUGGACCAGAAACCAUCCCCCAAGAGGACCUGCAGUGUGACCACAGCAGGCGGGCACAGCCUGCAGGGUAGGGCCCAAGCUGUGCAAAGCCACCCCGCUGAGAAUCAAGGACAGUGUGGGAUCUAGAGGAAAUGGGCCGGGUGGCUGGGCGGGAUCCCUCGCAGGUGAAGUGGGUGUGGGACAAGGUGUCAUCAAGCUCCCCACUGUGGCUGUGGUUUGGGGUCAUUUUCCUUUUUAGCAGGUUCUCCCCCUUUCCUGAUAACUUCAAAGUUUAAAGGGAAGAAACAGCAGAGGAAGGAAACAGAUAACAGAAAAUAUGGACAGGAAGUGAGAGUGUGGAGGGCCGGAACUCCUAGGUGAGAUGUCAGAAGACAAGGAUCUGGGAGUUCUGCCUUUUGCUGGGUCUGUUUGUAGCUCUGCCCCUUCUGUGCCUCUAGGUGAGUGGGGCUGGGACUUGUCAUUUAUAGAAUCUUCCCUGUAUGGGGACAGGGGAUGGAGAAGAAGGGAUGUGAUCAAGGAUGUUUGGGAGAGCAGGUAAUAACAGGUCUCAUGAAAACACUUACCCACCUACUCAGGUGAGUGGGAGGAUGUCGAGACCAUGGCUGCUCACUGGGAACUGCAGAGAUGGGGGAUGUUUUGUCAGCCACAAUGUGUGUGUGUGUGUGUGUGUGUGUGUGUGUGUGUGUGUGUGUGUGAUACCAGCUGCUAACAUUAUGCCGCAGUCUGUGCCCAGGACUUGGCAUCAAUGAUCUCAUUUAUUCUUCACCACAGUCCUUAUGAGGUGGAUACCGUCAUCCUCACAAAGAAACUGGGACCUCAGCUGUGCCAGGCAGGAAGAGAUGUACCUUCUGAAGGGGCGGGAGGCCAGUGAGUUAAGGGGUCAACAGCGAAGCUUCUCAUGAGGAGCAGAUUGUGGACAAGCCAGAAGCUUGGCGGUUACGGGCGCAGAGCCUCGGAAGAGUGGAUCCCUGAUUCCUGAGGCACCUGGUGAAGCCAGAUCAACUGGUCACGGGGUCGGGGAGGGUGAUUGGGGCACCAAAGGACAACAAACUAAACUGAGAUUGGUGAUCUUAAUGAGAUGAUACCUGGUUUCAGGAUGUCUCCAUGCUUCUGUUUUCAUAUCUGUAAAGUGGGGAUAAUGGUACCCACCUUAUGGCUUUGUUGUGAACUUUAGAAAUAAUUUGGGCAAAGCUCUCAGCACUGGGCUUGAGGAAGAACAGGGUUGUUUUUACCAAGAACCCCAUCUAACCUCUUUUGAUGGCUGCAGCUCUACCAUUUACUGUUUCCCUGAGAUGCCCUAGGUCUUCCCCAGAAGCUCCAGAUUCCAUCCCCACAUGGCCAGCUUACGACUUUGUUGUCAACCCAGAAUAUCUGAUUUUCCACUUACAGAGUCCUGCUUAAGAAGAAAGACCCACACCCUUCAGUGGUUGAAUAGAACCCACUGACCCGGCCACCAUUCUCUUCCCCAGAAUCUUGAAAGGAAGUGAGAAAUAGCUGUGAUGAUAUGAGCUUUGGGACCCAAACACUUAUUUGUAUUAAUUAAAACCAAUUAUGUGUUCUCUUCCAAGAAUUAACUUUAGCAUUUUUAAUAAAUAUAAUAACUGUGUUAUAAUAAAAUCAUACAAUAAUGAUUUAGACAUAAAUUCUGAAGUUUAACUGAUUUUGUUUCCCACUGUUAUUUCCUUUAUAUUGCUUCUUCCUCAAACUAAAAUUAUUUGGGUUGAUUUCUCAGUUGGGUGAAGUGUAUUGAAUUACUUUUUCUUUUCCUUUUUUAAAUAAAAGACAGUAUAAAUGGAUAGUGUACAUUUGGAGUCCCUACAUUUUAAAAAUGU